CGCAUCUGUGCAUGCAGCAUAUCAAUAAGCGGAGGAAAAGAAACUAACAAGGAUUCCCCUCAGUAACGGCGAGUGAAGCGGGAAGAGCUCAAAUUUGAAAUCUUGAAAGGUCUACCUUGCACGAAUUGUAGUUUAAAGAAGUGUUUUCUGUUGACGAUCUGGUAAUAUAAGUUCUUUGGAAUAGGACAUCACAGAGGGUGAGAAUCCCGUCUAUGAUUGCGAUUUGUAGCUUUGUGAUACACUUUCAAAGAGUCGGGUUGUUUGGGAAUGCAGCCCAAAACGGGAGGUAAAUUUCUUCUAAGGCUAAAUAUUGGCGAGAGACCGAUAGCGAACAAGUACCGUGAGGGAAAGAUGAAAAGAACUUUGAAAAGAGAGUUAAAUAGUACGUGAAAUUGUCAAAAGGGAAGCGUUUAACACCAGUGUUGUUUUCUGAAAAUCAACCUCUGUUAGCUUUAUGCAUGUUUGUUUAGACCUAAUCAGCUAUCUUGCAUGUUCUAUUGUUUGCAGUGGUGCACUUUUCAGUUUACAGGUCAACAUCAGUUUUUUUUACCGUAAAAAAGUUAAAGAAAGGUAGCUCAUGGCUCCGGUCGUGAGUGUUAUAGUCUUUUUCCUAUGCGGUAGGAGAGACUGAGGUCUGCAGUGUAGGCUAUUUGGCUAGAUACUCAGGUGCUAUGUGAUACCAUUUCAUAAACAACUUGUUGAUUAUGUUUUGUCUAUUGCAUACUCGCUUGUACUAUCAUACCUACGCUUAGGAUGUUGACGAUCAGCUGAGCGCG
rnacentral:rRNA from 1 species